GCCUGGAGGACACAAGACGGAAAGGCGAUGCUUCGAGCCUCUCCGCGCUCCUUCAGGACUCAGAGCAGGCUGGGUUUCUCUUGGCCACGGCUGGAGCCCAUCGUCUCACCCUAGAGGAGCCCGGAAUACAUGCUUAGUGGGUGAGGAGCCAAGGCCCAGAGUCACAGAGCAUCCAUAAUCCUGAUGACACACGCGCACAGCGCUCACAGAGGGGCCUCAACACACUCCCAGGCUUCCGUGUGGACACCCGCCCGAGGCCACACAGAUGGAGAAUGCUGGUGUCAGGAUGUGAGCUGGUUGCCUCUCUUAGGCAACCUCCUGUCUGAAUGGAGCAAGAGGCUGCCAGACACUGGCCCAGGAUCGGGGCUGCCUGAUCCCUGCACUGGCCAGAGGAAGCACCACAAAUCCCACCUGCACGUCCACCCAGCCCACCCUGCUCAGAGCUGUUCUGUGCAUCUUAGCUUGAUAAGGUGCAGGGAACUCAUCAACCUUGCAAGGAGCCCUCUGAGAACUGGCUAUGAGUCCAGCCACCUCCCUGUCCCAGCAGUAACCCCCCAGGCAUGUCCCACCCCUCAUUUUUCCCAGGCUGUGUUGCCCUCUGCCCCUCUUCUCUAAUUGAUGCUGGUCACCUCACUCCAGGCCCUCCUCCUAGAAGCUCUCCCUGACUCCCCAUCCUUCAGCAUGUCUAGACUCCGUUCCCAUGCCCAGAAUUCCACCUCCAGUCAUACAGGGGCCUCUCAGGUGCCUGGUGCCAGGCCUGAUGGGGCUCCAGAUGGUGACCAGCCAAGGGACCAAAGAGGACACCCCUCAGUGAGAGGAGCAGAAGGGCUGGAGGCAGGAGACCACUGUGGGCCUUCUCUGAGUCUUAAUGCAGGACACUUGCCUGGCAGGGUUUGGGGAAGAGAACGCCUAGGAGGACAAACAACUUCUCUCCAGCCUGCACAUCAGGGCUGGCCAGGCUCCCAGGGAGCAUGAAUGGACUCCUUGCCCCACCCCUAACAAGCAGAGAAACAGCCCACACCGGGGACCUCCUCCUAGGCGGCCUCCAUGCUUAACCCAGCAGCUUCCACCUACAGAACAAGCAUCAACUCCAGCCUGGAGACCCCAAGCCAAGGGCUAGCCUCACCUUCUCUUUGCCCUGAACUGCCCAUCUAAACCUCUGAGGUACUGGUCUGACAUUCCCCAUUUUCCCAAUGAGGAAUCUGGGGCUUUGCAGGGUUAGCAAUGUGUCCACGGUCACACAGCUGUAGGUGGCAGAGCUGGGGCUCAACCCCAGGCUGUCCUGCACCUGCAGGCAUAACUCUACUCUGAUGACCUGCUCAGCCCACACACGGAGGACAUCUGUGGCCCUCAGCCAAAGGCAGCCUGUUUUAAGCAGGGUUUUCUUCUUAAAUCUUUUUAUUAAAAAAAUUUUUUUUAUUGAAGUAUAGUUGAUUACAAUGUUGUGUUUCAGGUG